GACGUAGGGCCCAAGCGUUGUCCGGAUUUACUGGGCGUAAAGAGCGCGUAGGCGGCUCGUUAAGUGUGAAGUGAAAUCUCUAGGGCUCAACCCAGAAACUGCUUUACAUACUGGCGAGCUGGAGUGAUGCAGAGGUUUGUGGAAUUCCUGGUGUAACGGUGAAAUGUGUUGAUAUCAGGAGGAACACCCAUGGCGAAGGCAGCAAACUGGGCAUCAACUGACGCUGAGGCGCGAAAGCGUGGGUAGCAAACAGG
rnacentral:rRNA from 1 species